UGCCACAGGCGUCAAGGGGUCCAAAAGGUACUCCUGAUGUACCUUGGCACUGAGUAAAGUCUUGGGUAGCUGGGGAAAAGUGGAGGAGCAAGACUCCUUACUGAGUACUUAGGGUUUAGAGAGUAGUAGGGGUGUUGGAGAAACCUGGUACUCCUACGAAAUCUGAAAAAUCCUGAGGCUGAAAGGUGAGAGGGUACAGGGGAGUUUCCAAGUAGGAUCUGUUGAGCCUGUGGCA
rnacentral:ncRNA from 1 species